CCAUCACUCGUCACCGAGACUACAUCAGUCGGGAUGAUUUGCUCCUACAUCACUCGGUACAUUAUCCUUUCUUGGUGAAAUGAUUGUAUUAAAUUAAAUUUCGAUUAGAGGAUAUAUACAAAUACAGGCCGAUUCUUUGUCAAUGAGUAUAAACUAGUUUUUACAUAAUUAAAAAACAGAACAUUGAAAGUAUGUUGAACGCUUUAAAUCAUGAAUGGUUCAAUAUCUGAUAAGAAGUACAUAAUUAGGUAACUACACAAAAUAAUUAUGUGUGGGGAUCAGAUUCAAUCCGGGUGAUGUAGCAAUUACCAAACUAACCUCAUGACGUUUUGUGUUCGCGAUUUAGGGUAGGCUGUAUUUAGGUAGCAAGCUAAAAUGGUUAAACUUUUAAUUGGGGGUUAGUAAUGAUUGCCUUUUUUCCUACCUCUUUUACGUGUGUUUGUUUGAGCAUCACGAACCAGUAGAAACAUAGGAAAACCUGACACAGCGGCUGCAUGGCCAGGAAGAUCAGAAGAAAAGAUAUUGGGUUGCAUGCGAAAAGUUUUUCUGGGGGAGGGUUUCUAAAACAUGUACUCGAGGUUUGUGUAUAAAAGGGAGCUCAACGAUGAGCUUCUCCUCACACUUGAGGAAAUAAAUCAAGAUGGUUCGCUCUGUACGAUUUUGGCGAGGACAAUGGAAGAAGAGUGGGAGUUCAUAACCCAUCCAGAAGACAUAGGCUAUAGGGUGGUCGUCUACGAAACUGUGAGCUACGAUACGAUUGACCAGAUAAUAAGACAGCGCUACGGUCUCAGCCAGUAUACACCUCUUGUCAUUUCUCACCGACUUCCUAAUUGGAUGCUCGGCCCCCAAGGUAACCGGGCACCGCCGAUGACGAUCUCGAGCACAGCUGUGUUGUCUUGGCUUCUCCAUGGGAGAACCUGGAUAAGUGAGCUUCCUAUGCUCAUAACGAUGGGUCCAAAAGACAUUGCUGAAUACGAGUUUCACUACCGUACUAAUUUUUAGGCAAUACAACGUAUGUCCUUGAUCACACCGCAAACGAGAACUCGAGAGCCGUUUACGAAAGUUUAGUCUUUGGAAAUCGUGCAGCACAGACCGAGCGGGUCAUGGAUGCUUUAUUUCCACAAGACAGCUUGCGGCUCUUCCACCGAGUUUCGUUGGAGAUGGCUUUCGCAGACAAUUUUCUGGCUAACCAACACGGAGGCACACAACCAGUUAGAGAGAUCAUCAAACUUGACGACGAUGAUACUGAAAUGGAUGAAGGAGCUCAAGGAAAUGCGACACCUGGUGAGUGGUGGAUCUAUGUAUAUUAGUUAGCACGUUAAUAAUUUUUAUUGUAAUGUAAGGCUUUAAGAUUAGCCGGUUAUCUGAUCUUCAUUGACAAUUUCUAAUUUUUUAGUUGAAGGUGUAACCGGGCUUGGUAAUGAAGGCGUUGGACCUGUUGGUCAAGGAAAUGCGACCCCUGGUGAGUAAAAGGAUCUAUGUAUCAUAGUUAGCCCGUUAAUGCUUUAAGUGUAAUGUAAGUCUGUAUGUUUAGCAGGUUAUCUGAAAUUAAUUGACAAUAUAUAAUUUUUUGGUUGAAGGUGUAACCGGGCUUGGUACCGAAGUCGUUGGACCUGUUGGUCAAGGGGAUGCGCCACCAAUAUUAUGGGAUGUUGGUAUGGACAAGCCGGCAAUGGGAGAACAUCGAAGGGCGCAACGAGCGCUCGGUCGCUACGUAGCGACUGAGCGUCUGUUUCGCUCGGUCGCUACGUAGAGACCGAGCACUAGUUCCGCUCGGUCGUUAUGUAGCGACCGGGUUCGAG